rnacentral:misc_RNA from 1 species
GAUGAAGAACGUAGCGAAAUGCGAUAAGUAAUGUGAAUUGCAGAAUUCAGUGAAUCAUCGAAUCUUUGAACGCACAUUGCGCCCCUUGGUAUUCCAUGGGGCAUGCCUGUUCGAGCGUCAUUUGUACCUUCAAGCUUUGCUUGGUGUUGGGUGUUUGUCCCUCGGGACUCGCCUUAAAGUCAUUGGCAGCCAGUGUUUUGGUUUUGAAGCGCAGCACAAGUCGCGAUUCAAGGCUAUCCGCCCGCUUCCACAAGCCUUUUUCACUUUUGACCUCGGAUCAGGUAGGGAUACCCGCUGAACUUAAGCAUAUCAAUAAGCGGAGGA